AGCUCCAAUAGCGUAUAUUAAAGUUGCUGCAGUUAAAAAGCUCGUAGUUGGAUUUGUGGAGCGGCCGUCCGGCGGGGGUCCUUUACUGGUCCCGUUUGUCCUGGUUUUCGGCCGCUCCUUUCUCGGGUAAAGCGUAAUGGCUGGCAUUAGGUUGCCGGCCGCUUCGCGCCCGUCGUUUACUGUGAAAAAAUUAGAGUGUUCAAAGCAGGCUUAGGCCGUUGGAUACAUUAGCAUGGAAUAAUGAGAUAGGGCCACCGCGGUCUAUUUUGUUGGUUUGCACGUUGUGGUAAUGAUUAACAGGAACGGUUGGGGGUAUUCGUAUUCAAUUGUCAGAGGUGAAAUUCUUGGAUUUGUGGAAGACGAACUACUGCGAAAGCAUUUACCAAGGAUGUUUUCA
rnacentral:rRNA from 1 species